rnacentral:rRNA from 1 species
CACGUAGGGUGCGAGCGUUGUCCGGAAUUAUUGGGCGUAAAGAGCUCGUAGGCGGUGUGUCGCGUCGGCCGUGAAAACCUGGGGCUUAACUCUGGGCUUGCGGUCGAUACGGGCAUCACUGGAGUUCGGCAGGGGAGACUGGAAUUCCUGGUGUAGCGGUGAAAUGCGCAGAUAUCAGGAGGAACACCGGUGGCGAAGGCGGGUCUCUGGAACGCAACUGACGCUGAGACGCGAAAGCGUGGGGAGCAAACAGG